UACGUAGGGGGCAAGCGUUGUCCGGAUUUAUUGGGCGUAAAGCGCUCGCAGGUGGUCCGCUGCGUCGUGCGUGAAAGACCCCGGCUCAACUGGGGAGGGUCACGCGAUACUGAUCGACUCGAAGGCAGGAGAGGGUAGUGGAAUUCCCGGUGUAGUGGUGAAAUGCGUAGAUAUCGGGAGGAACACCAGUGGCGAAGGCGACUACCUGGCCUGUUCUUGACGCUGAGGCGCGAAAGCUAGGGGAGCAAACGGG
rnacentral:rRNA from 1 species